UACAGAGGGGGCUAGCGUUAUUCGGAAUUAUUGGGCGUAAAGGGCGCGUAGGCGGCCAUGCGUGUCUUCCGUGAAAUCCCUCGGCUUAACUGAGGACGUGCGGAAGAAACUGCAAGGCUCGAGUCCGGGAGAGGGGGGUGGAAUUCCCAGUGUAGCGGUGAAAUGCGUAGAUAUUGGGAGGAACACCGGUGGCGAAGGCGGCCCCCUGGACCGGUACUGACGCUGAGGCGCGAAAGCAUGGGUAGCAAACGGG
rnacentral:rRNA from 1 species